AUUUUUUUCCCCCACUUGAAGAAAUUUUCCUUUUGCAAGGGAGCUCCAAGGCAAACCAGACGCCGGGCGCCGCUAAGACCCGACGGUGGCUAGGGCCGCUGGGCCGGUGGCACGCUGAAGAACCCACGGCGGCACUGCCUCUCCGCUCGCCUCGGCAGCCUCGCUCCCCCGCACCGCCGCACGGAUGGUGGUUCCGGCUCCCCAAACGGCGAUAGGCGUCCGAGGUCUGAUGGAUGGGACUGUACCGGAGCCCCCCACCAGCAGCCUGCCUAGCCGUUCUUCUCCAUCCGUUUCUCACAGGUGGUCCCAUAAGCAGAUAAGCUUGUUGUCUUCAAUCUUCAGUGAGAAUUGUCACGGAGUGCAGCCGUGCUCACUUUUUGUGGACCGCAUCUGCCUCUACUUGUUUGUAAAAUUGUGAAUACAGGCUUGCAUGGUAGUACUAUGUUAGUUCAUAGCGCAUUCUUUUGACAUAUGUAAAACUGCAGGCUGUUUGUAAUUGGUGCCUAACGGUGUUACUUUUCGUGGAAGAUGGUAGCCUUCCAUCACAGAAAAACCUGCUUCACGAUGGCUCAUCAUUACGUGAAACUUGUGGCUGGUAUAGCACUUUAAUUCUGUAUUGUCCGUGUGAUUGUAAAAACAGUUCUCAAAUGAGCGCAGCUAGUAAAUCAAUUUAUACAUGAUACUAGUAGAGAACGCCCGCCAUUGCGCGCACUCCUGGCAAAGGUGUAACAGUUUUUGUAUAGAUACAGCAGCAGACAAGCAGAUAAUACAUUUCGAUACAACUAAACAUAAGGUUCAGUACGGUCGACUUUGGACAUCUGAAUAACAAAGUAUUGAAGAAAAGUAUCUGCAACGUUGCUUGCCCAGUGAUGAUUGUUACAAGAUCUAGCAGGAACACUUGAGCUGAUGGUAGGUACAGAAUUCCACAGGAAUUGGAAAAUGUGGAUGUUGGCGGUUGGAAGGCAUUACAUAAAUUAAGCUUUUCUGAUAGUCGGCAAUUUAUUUUGGCAACCGGCAUGGGGAUGAUGUCAUUUCUUGCUGUAAAAGGGAAAGAAAAUCUGUCAGGGAGAUGUACCUUUUUGAAUUAAGCAAAUGUAAGCGAGGUUAUGCUCCAAAA